AAUUCCUUUUGCUUAGUUGUUAAUAAUAUUAGACGACUAGAGUAGACUCGGAAGUUUCCCACCCAGAAUAGAGGCUCAAGAAGCAUUACAAAUUCUUCUCUUUCUCAGAUUGUUUUGCAUCAAUUAAAGCUGAGAGCAGAACAAAUACAAGAAUGUCCAGCAGCCUCUUGAGCGUUUUCUCUGUACUUUCAUUUGUUUGAAUGAAAAUCUAAUUCAUCCAAGCAAAAGAUACAUUGGUGUCUUUUUUUUUUUUUUUUUUUUUUUUUAAAUAAAUUUUUUUGGCAUAGUUUGGUAGAUAUGGCAGAUCCUGUUACAGGGGCUGUUGUGGGGGCAGCUUUUGGAGAGGGAUUUGCUAUUUUGCAUGGAACAGUUAAGCAUGUGGUAAGAGAAAUCGUCAUGUUCAAAUCCAUUCUUGGACGCUUAGAAUCCACGCUAGAUCGUAUAGCACCACAGGCCCAAAAGAUAAAAGAAUUAAUCCUAGCUCUUGAUCGCCCAGAAAAGGAAAUAAAGAACUUGAUCGAAAAAAUGGAGAAGGGCAACGAGCUGGUUCUCAAGUGCUCCAAAAUCAAAAUCAAGCGCUGGAGUUUGAACUACUGUGUCAAAGCCUAUUCUUAUUCGAAACAACUUAAGGAGUUGAACGAUGCCAUUGAAAAGUUUUGUCAGGUUGAUUUGGCAUUACAGAUCGCAAGGACUGGGUUGGAGAAUUCGGUCAAGCUGGAUCGGAACACAAACAUUGCACAGCAGACUUUGGCCGGUGUGAACGGUAUUCGGGAUCAAAUGAAUAAUCAGAAUUUGGACGUAAGGAUGAGAUUUGGGUUACGGACACUGUCGGUGCCUAAACCCCGGGAUGAUAUUGUUGGGUUGGAUUUGCCUUUGAAGGAGUUGAAGCAGCUACUGUCUAAUAAAAAGGAGCCGCUUCUUCUAUUGACUGCUCUUGGAGGUUGCGGGAAGACCACACUCGUCAAAAUGCUUUUUUGGGAUGAGGAUAUUAAAGGCAUAUAUGGGGAAAAUAUAUAUUUUGUCAACGUUUCACAAGCUCCCAACCUGAAGGUCAUGGUACAAAACUGUUUAAGCAUAAUGGUGAGGAUUGUCCUGAGUUUCAAAGUGAUGAAGAAGCAAUUGACCAGCUAGAGCAACUGCUGAAUGAAAUUAGACAACCUAUAUUGUUGAUAUUGGAUGAUGUCUGGCCCGGAUCAGAAUCCCUUAUUGAGAAGUUCAAGUUUAAUAUUCCUGAUUACAAGAUUGUGGUGACUUCAAGAACUGCAUUUCCAAGAUUUCCAUAUAGAUAUAAAUUAAAUCCAUUAAAUCGUGUAGAUGCCAUGAGUCUUUUUUGUAACUCAGCAUCAUUGCAAGACCAAGACGAGAGCUCUGACAUUCCAGAAGAAUAUAUCGAAAAGUUUGUAAGCGGUUGUGGGGGGUUGCCAAUAGCGCUUAAGGUGAUUGGUGGUUCACUCCGUGGGCAACUUGCAGAUGUUUGGCUCAGUAAACUAACAAAAUGGUCCGAGGGUCAUUCUAUUUUUGACUCUGAUGCAGAGGUGCUUGUUUGUCUCCAAAAAAGCCUAGAAUUUUCUGCUGACAAGACCAUCCUCAAAGAGUAUUUCAUGGACCUAGGUUCAUUUCCUGAAGACCAAAGGAUCUCUGCUACUGCCCUCAUUGAUAUGUGGACAGAAUUACAUGAACCAAGUGAAGAAGUUGUCCAUAUAAUUUCCAAUUUGCGGGAACUCCACAAUCGGAAUUUGGCUAGUCUUGUAAUGACAAGGAAAGAUGGAACUAAGAUCGACUACUAUUACAAUGAAGACUUUGUCACACAACAUGAUGUUCUCAGAGACCUAGCUAUCCAUCUAAACAACCAGGAGCCAGUACUACAAAGGAAAAGACUAAUUGUGGACAUCAGUGGAAACAAUCCACCGAAAUGGUGGACGGAACAGAAGCAACCACUCAUUAAUGCACGCCUAUUAUCUAUCUCAACUGAUGAAUUGUUUUCGUCAAGUUGGUGCAACAUUCAAGCACCCGAAGUUGAGGCUUUAGUUCUGAAUUUUCAAACAAGGAAUUAUGCCUUGCCCGAGUUUGUGGAGAAAAUGGUUAAACUCAAGGUUAUAGUUGUCACUAAUUAUGGUUUCUUUCCUGCUGAAUUAAGCAAUUUUCAGCUACUCAGGUCCCUCCCCAAUCUAACGAGAAUUAGAUUAGAGAAGGUUUCAAUUCCUUCGCUAUGCAAGACCCUUGUUUUAUUGAGGAGUUUGAAGAAAUUAUCUUUAUUUAUGUGUAAUAUUGGUCAAGCUUUUGGGAAUUCAACCAUACAGGUUUUAGAUUCAUUGCCAAAUCUAAUGGAGAUAAACAUUGACUAUUGCAAUGAUUUGGUGGAAUUGCCUGGAUGGUUAUGUGAGGUUCUCCCCCUGAAAAAACUUAGGAUCUCCAAUUGUCAUAAGUUGCCUUUACUGCCCGAAAGAAUUGGAAACUUAACAAAUUUAGAAGUGCUAAGACUUAGGUCUUGUACUGAAUUGUCAAAGUUGCCAGAUUCAAUCAAAAGUCUCCAUAAGUUGAGCAUUCUUGACAUAUCUGACUGCCUAAGCAUUUGCAAGUUGCCAAAACACAUUGGUGAGUUGCAUAGUUUAACAGAGUUCCACAUGAAAGAGUGCUUGAGGUUGCGGAAUCAAUUGCCACCAUCAAUUAUGGAGCUUCAGCAGUUGAAGCUUGUGGUAUGUGACGAAGAGAGGGCCAAGUUAUGGGAGCCUUUCAAGGAAUUCCUCUCAAUUUUAAAGGUAAAAGUGGCUAAGAAAGAUAUCAACUUGAAUUGGCUUCCCAAAUACUGAUUGUGGAGGCCAGUUUCUUCUUGAAAAAUUUUGUAGGUUUAUGAUUUGAUAUUGUUCUCUUCCGUUCUUUGUUCUUUUGUCCUUUUUUUUCUUUUGUAAAGAUCAUGAAAUAAGUGGCUUAGUACACUCAAAAAAGGAAAUGUUUUUUAGGAGUUGCAGUUGUAGAUAUAUUAUAUGUACCCCUUAAAAGUAUUGGGAAAUUUAAUGCUGAGGGAUGUGAAUGCAUAGUUUUCAUUAUGUAUGGUUACGUGGAAAAAGAACUUGUAAAAUUCAUUUAGUAAA